CGAACGCUGGCGGCGUGCUUAACACAUGCAAGUCGAGCGAUGAAGCACCUUCGGGUGUGAAUUAGCGGCGAACGGGUGAGGAACACGUGAAGAAUCUGCCUUCAACUCUGGGAUAACUCCGGGAAACCGGGGCUAAUACCGGAUAUGAGCCUUGAUCGCAUGAUCGGGGCUGGAAAGUUUUUCGGUUGAAGAUGACUUCGCGGCCUAUCAGCUUGUUGGCGAGGUAAUGGCUCACCCAGGCGACGACGGGUAGCCGGCCUGAGAGGGCGACCGGGCCACACUGGGGACUGAGACACGGCCCAGACUCCUACGGGAGGCAGCAGUGGGGAAUAUUGGGCAAUGGAGGAAACUCUGACCCAGCGACGCCGCGU
rnacentral:rRNA from 1 species